rnacentral:rRNA from 1 species
GACGAACGCUGGCGGCGUGCUUAACCCAUGCAAGUCGAACGGAAAGGCCCUGCUUUUGUGGGGUGCUCGAGUGGCGAACGGGUGAGUAACACGUGAGUAACCUGCCCUUGACUUUGGGAUAACUUCAGGAAACUGGGGCUAAUACCGGAUAGGAGCUCCUGCUGCAUGGUGGGGGUUGGAAAGUUUCGGCGGUUGGGGGUGGACUCGCGGCUUAUCAGCUUGUUGGUGGGGUAGUGGCUUACCAAGGCUUUGACGGGUAGCCGGCCUGAGAGGGUGACCGGCCACAUUGGGACUGAGAUACGGCCCAGACUCCUACGGGAGGCAGCAGUGGGGAAUAUUGCACAAUGGGCGGAAGCCUGAUGCAGCAACGCCGCGUGCGGGAUGACGGCCUUCGGGUUGUAAACCGCUUUCGCCUGUGACGAAGCGUGAGUGACGGUAAUGGGUAAAGAAGCACCGGCUAACUACGUG